GUGCAGACAAGAGGUUCUAUUGCUGGGUAAUGAGGUUGCAUUCAAUGAGGCUAUAAUAGAGGAGAGGGAGCAGGGAAUUAAAGAUAUACAACAAGAAAUUGGACAAGCAAAUGAAAUAUUUCGGGACCUUGCUGUUCUAGUUCAUGAGCAAGUAGUGGUGAUAGAUGACAUUCAAUCAAACAUUGAAGCUUCAUCUACUGCAACAAUGCAAGGUAAAGUGCAACUUUCGAAGGCUCACAAGAAUGUCAAAUCUAGAUCAUCAUGGUGUUGGUGGGUACUGGUGAUUUUCGUAUUAGUGGUGGUCAUUCUCCUCCUUUUCCUUAUCAUAUAAAGUGUAGUACUCUUUGGCCUUCCAAGGGCGACGGUGUGGUUGUGGGUGUGAUGCAAGCAGUGAAUUAACUUAUUCUAUGUAUAGUGUGCAGUGUUAACAACAUUUAAAGUUUUGCCUUUGUUUAUUAUCAAGGAUUUUAUCUCAAAUUUCUUUCAUUCUCUCUUUUUCUGAAUUUAUUCUUUUUUGUACUACAUUCUACUGGUAAAUGAACCUGAAUGCAU